GGAGAAUAUUGCACAAUGGGCGAAAGCCUGAUGCAGCAACGCCGCGUGGAGGAUGAAGGCCUUCGGGUUGUAAACUCUUGUCUUCUGGGACGAUAAUGACGGUACCAGAGGAGGAAGCCACGGCUAACUACGUGCCAGCAGCCGCGGUAAUACGUAGGUGGCAAGCGUUGUCCGGAUUUACUGGGCGUAAAGGAUGCGUAGGCGGAUAUUUAAGUGGGAUGUGAAAUACCCGAGCUCAACUUGGGUGCUGCAUUCCAAACUGGAUAUCUAGAGUGCGGGAGAGGAGAGUGGAAUUCCUAGUGUAGCGGUGAAAUGCGUAGAGAUUAGGAAGAACACCAGUGGCGAAGGCGACUCUCUGGACCGUAACUGACGCUGAGGCAUGAAAGCGUGGGGAGCAAAC
rnacentral:rRNA from 1 species